UAGGAUUCCAGAAGAAAAAGGGCCAGAUAUGCGGUCAGUCCAGCUGUGGGUCCCCUCUGACGAACAGUCCCUCAGGCAGCAUUUUCCCAGGCUCAGGCAGUGGGCAGUUCAUUCUUGUCCUCUGCAUGUUCUCUUCUGCCAGUAAUUUCCUCCUUAGUUCCCUUCUGUUGACUCACUCCUACCCCAGUCCUUCGCCACAUCACCAUGGAUGGAGUCUAGUUUCACCCUGGCUGUCCUACUCUACUCACGUGCAUCAGCUUCCAGACCCAUCCGGCUGUUACUCAACGACGGGCAAGGUCUUGCCUUUCCCAUUGGAGUCGGUUCCAGCCUUGCCUCCAUCCCCACAAGGCUUGUGUGAGAAGGUGCCCCUCCUAGCCAGCCCCCUCCUGCCUCUGUUCCAGUUCCAACCAUGCGCAGUUGGAAAUCACCAGCUCUGUGGUCCUGGCGUUAAGGACAGACGCUGAGCCCCUGGGAAAUGUGUGCAUACUUGCCCCUGAGGGCGGUGAAGUGAGAACAUCCACAAAGAAUGUCUCAUGUGAUGGAAACCAAAGCAUGACCUCCAGGAUGGGGAUUCCUGGCACACAGCAGCUGAGAGCAACUUCAGGGAAAGCAGGUUUUUUCUUACUCGAAAGUUCUCUCUGUGUUAAGAAAGAAUGCUCACUCAGCGUCUGCUUGUCACAGUCGCUGUUUGGUUAGCCCUGGCUGGGAAGGCGUUUGGGUUGAGGAGGAGAAAAGAAAGGUAUCUUUAAAGAUUAGUUAUGUUUUCCUUUGUCAGAAGAUAGCCACUGAGGAGUGAUUUAAGGAGCUCUGAGAUACGUGAACAAAGGUUACUUUUUUAAAGCGGUAAUUACUCAUGACUGAGUCAUGAUGACUCUAUCACAACAAUAUCUGGCGUUUUAUAGGGCUUCAGCUCCUCAAAGCAUUUUUAUGUCUUUUAUGUAUUUGCUUUUCAAGAGGAAGCCAGAUCCAGACACCCGCUUCCCAGGCUUCUCCUUCGCUGGUGCCUCGCCUUGCAUGGUUUUGGGUGCACAGAUAUAUAAUUUGAAUGAGUUCAUUUACUUUCAACUGAUCUUUAUUAAAUACUUGGUAUUUGUUAGCCACCUUUACAAUUGCUGUUUCAUUGACCAAGAAAUAUGGUUCAACCACAAGCAUUUCCUGUCUCCUCCGUAAUCCUCAACUCCGACCUUCACCAAAUUAACUUGUAAGAAAAUCAGAAUCCAUUUGGAAGACAAUCUUUGUUCUUCCACUCUGUACUUAUUUGUCCAUUUAUGAUGUUUGUGGAAGGUGUGAAAAAGUUUCUUGUUCUUUCAUUUUUGGCCAAAAUAUUGCCUGAGAGGUUCGGAAUGCAAGAUGCUCCAGCUCCCCAGUGCCAUCAGUCACUGGACAGACUCUCCUUGGCCUUGGAGUUGGGCCAUAACCUUUCUUUUUUUUUUAGAUUAAAUUUAGAUUUUUUAGAUUUUCGUUUUAGAUUUUGUUUUUUAAAGGUUGGCACCUGAGCUAACAACUGUUGCUUAUCUUCUUGUUUUGCUUUUUCUCCCCAAAGCCCCCCAGUACCUAGUUGUACAUUCUAGUUCUGGGUCCUUCCAGUUGAGGCAUGUGGAAUGCCACCUCAGCAUGACCUGAUGAGCAGUAGUACCAUGUCCACACCCAGGAAUCGAACCAGCGAAACUCGAAGCUGCCGAAGCGGAGUGUGCGAACUUAACCACUCGGCCACGGGGCCUGCCCCCAUCACCUUUCUUGAUCCCUUUCCUGUAAGCUGAGGAGAAAUCUUAAGCAACCAGGCAUAGGUGAGUCCUAGAGCAAAAAUACCCCAGCCCCCUCCCAACCCUAAAGGAACCAGGUGUUACAGAGCACCGUGCCUUCAUCCUUGUGCCAAUGGCCUCAUUUUCUUGGGACUGGAUACUCUACAGAGGCAAGGGGCUCUGUCCUCAUUAAAACGACUUCCUCUGUUAAAUGGGUGUAUUUCUGGGAUCAGUCAGGUCUAUGGAUAUUCAGACUGAAGGUGAAGCUGGGGUAUUCUGCAGUGAAUGGCGAAGAGGGAACAAGUUUGGAGAGACUGGGGCUGGAGAAAUGAUGCCGAGAGAAGCGGGGGAGCGAGCAGGGGCUGGGAGUAGGCUCUGGACUCGGAUGUGGACACGAUAAGUUGAUAAUUCUGCCAGGACACCUAGGGGUCCAUCUCAGUGGCUGACAUGGAUUGAAUGUUUGUGUCCCCCCCAAAUCCCUAUGCUGAAACCUAAUCUUUUGUGUGGUGGUAUUUGGAGAUGGGGCCUCUGGGAAGCGAUUAGAUUUAAAUGGGGUUAUGAGGGUGGAGCCCCCAUAAUGGAAUGAGCACACUUACAAGAAGUGGAAAGGACUGGAGCUCUCACUCUCUGCCGUGUGUGGACACAGCAAGAAGGUGGCCAUCUGCGAGCUGGGAGGAGUUCUCACCAGACAAAAUCUGUCUGCACUUUGAUCUUAGACUUCUCAGCAUCUAGAACGGCGAGAAUGAAUGCUGUUUAAGCCACCCAGUCUAUGGCAUUCUGGUAUGGCAGCUGGAACUGACUCAGACAGGGGCCAAUUGAACAAAAGAGCCUGGAGUGUGAAAGAUUCUGAGGCUGAAGACCAAGCAGGGAGCCUGUGAAGGGGCUGAGGACACCCAGAGAAGGGGCCCACCGAGGAAGGCAGAGCUAGAGAGGGCCCCGCUGCUGAGCAAAUGAGGCGGCCGAGGACCUUCAGAGGAGCCACGCAGAAUCAGAACAGGGGUUUGGUUUUUCUACAACGUUGUCUCAGUUGGACCUAAAACAAAAAUAUUAACAUAAGCUCAGCUUCCAAAAUCACCAUGUUCCUCUGGUGAAAACUUGGAAAAGAGGUGGAAAAAUUACUUAGGGGACGCUGUAGAAAGAUCCUUCCUCUAACUCAGAGUCUAAGAAGGGGUUCAUCCUUUCGAAGACCUUGAAAACCAUCAGCUCAUUGAUAGGCACCUUUUGCAGCUCCUGGAAUAGAGGUUGCAUACGAGGCCCUUUCACACGAUGCCUGAACUACGGGGACAUCUUCCACGUACCGUCUUGUCCCUCUGAUCUGCAUCUCAAUCCUAUGGUCUUUCCAGGAAAUCCCUCCCUGAGCUGGGAGUGCAGUGAUAAAUAAAACAAUGUCUGAGACUGGACCUCGCUAGACA
rnacentral:lncRNA from 1 species